CGGGGUGAGUAACGCGUGGGCAACCUGCCUUAUACAGGGGGAUAACAGCUGGAAACAGCUGCUAAUACCGCAUAAGCGCACAGUGCUGCAUGGUACAGUGUGAAAAACUGAGGUGGUAUAAGAUGGGCCCGCGUCUGAUUAGCUGGUUGGGAGGGUAACGGCCUACCAAGGCGACGAUCAGUAGCCGGCCUGAGAGGGCGGACGGCCACAUUGGGACUGAGACACGGCCCAGACUCCUACGGAAGGCAGCAG
rnacentral:rRNA from 1 species